rnacentral:tRNA from 1 species
CAUUAAGAAGCUAACCAGCGUUAACCUUUUAAGUUAAAGACAGGGAGGACAAAUCCACCCCUUAAUGA